GAUGAACGCUAGCUACAGGCUUAACACAUGCAAGUCGAGGGCAGCAUGAACUUAGCUUGCUAAGUUUGAUGGCGACCGGCGCACGGGUGAGUAACACGUAUCCAACCUGCCGAUGACUCGGGGAUAGCCUUUCGAAAGAAAGAUUAAUACCCGAUGGCAUAAUUCUUCCGCAUGGUAGAACUAUUAAAGAAUUUCGGUCAUCGAUGGGGAUGCGUUCCAUUAGAUAGUAGGCGGGGUAACGGCCACCUAGUCUUCGAUGGAUAGGGGUUCUGAGAGGAAGGUCCCCCACAUUGGAACUGAGACACGGUCCAAACUCCUACGGGAGGCAGCAGUGAGGAAUAUUGGUCAAUGGGCGAGAGCCUGAACCAGCCAAGUAGCGUGAAGGAUGACUGCCCUAUGGGUUGUAAACUUCUUUUAUAAAGGAAUAAAGUCGGGUAUGGAUACCCGUUUGCAUGUACUUUAUGAAUAAGGAUCGGCUAACUCCGUG
rnacentral:rRNA from 1 species